rnacentral:rRNA from 1 species
AGAGUUUGAUCCUGGCUCAGAACGAACGUUAGCGGCGCGCCUAACACAUGCAAGUCGAGCGAGAAAGGGAGCAAUCCCCGGUACAGCGGCGCACGGGUGAGUAACACGUAGGUAAUCUGCCUCCGAGUGGGGGAUAACCUUCCGAAAGGAGGGCUAAUACCGCAUAAGACCAAGCCUCCGAGAGGGGGAGAGGUCAAAGCCGGCCACUAUACAUAAGCUGGCGCUUGGAGAUGAGCCUGCGGCCCAUCAGCUAGUUGGUAGGGUAACGGCCUACCAAGGCGAAGACGGGUAGCUGGUCUGAGAGGAUGAUCAGCCACACUGGAACUGAGACACGGUCCAGACUCCUACGGGAGGCAGCAGUGGGGAAUCUUGCGCAAUGGGCGAAAGCCUGACGCAGCGACGCCGCGUGGGUGAUGAAGGCCUUCGGGUUGUAAAGCCCUGUGGAGGGGGACGAAUAAGGGCAGCCUAAUACGCUGACUGAUGACGGUACCCCUUUAGCAAGCACCGGCUAACUCUGUGCCAGCAGCCGCGGUAAGACAGAGGGUGCAAACGUUGUUCGGAAUUACUGGGCGUAAAGCGCGUGUAGGCGGCUUGGCAAGUCGGGUGUGAAAGCCCUGGGCUCAACCUAGGAAGUGCACUCGAAACUGCUUCGCUUGAGUGUCGGAGAGGAAAGCGGAAUUCUCGGUGUAGAGGUGAAAUUCGUAGAUAUCGAGAGGAACACCGGUGGCGAAGGCGGCUUUCUGGACGAUAACUGACGCUGAGACGCGAAAGCGUGGGGAGCAAACAGGAUUAGAUACCCUAGUAGUCC